ACGGAAGGCAGCAGUGAGGAAUAUUGGUCAAUGGACGGAAGUCUGAACCAGCCAAGUCGCGUGAAGGAUGAAGGUAUUAUGUAUUGUAAACUUCUUUAGCAGUGGAGUAAUAAGGUGGUCGAGACCACUGAUGCAAGUACACUGAGAAUAAGGAUCGGCUAACUCCGUGCCAGCAGCCGCGGUAAUACGGAGGAUCCGAGCGUUAUCCGGAUUUAUUGGGUUUAAAGGGUGCGCAGGCGGCUUUUUAAGUCAGUGGUUAAAUCGUGACGCUCAACGUCAUCACGCCAUUGAUACUGGAGAGCUUGAUUGCGGUCGAGGCUUGCGGAAUUCGUUGUGUAGCGGUGAAAUGCAUAGAUAUGACGAAGAACACCGAUUGCGUAGGCAGCAGACCAGGCCGUAAAUGACGCUCAGGCACGAAAGCGUGGGGAUCGAACAGGAUUAGAUACCCUGGUA
rnacentral:rRNA from 1 species